rnacentral:rRNA from 1 species
GCUCAGGACGAACGCUGGCGGCGUGCCUAAUACAUGCAAGUCGAGCGGACAGAUGGGAGCUUGCUUCCUGAUGUUAGCGGCGGACGGGUGAGUAACACGUGGGUAACCUGCCUGUAAGACUGGGAUAACUCCGGGAAACCGGGGCUAAUACCGGAUGGUUGUUUGAACCGCAUGGUUCAAACAUAAAAGGUGGCUUCGGCUACCACUUACAGAUGGACCCGCGGCGCAUUAGCUAGUUGGUGAGGUAACGGCUCACCAAGGCGACGAUGCGUAGCCGACCUGAGAGGGUGAUCGGCCACACUGGGACUGAGACACGGCCCAGACUCCUACGGGAGGCAGCAGUAGGGAAUCUUCCGCAAUGGGCGAAAGUCUGACGGAGCAACGCCGCGUGAGUGAUGAAGGUUUUCGGAUCGUAAAGCUCUGUUGUUAGGGAAGAACAAGUGCCGUUCGAAUAGGGCGGUACCUUGACGGUACCUAACCAGAAAGCCACGGCUAACUACGUGCCAGCAGCCGCGGUAAUACGUAGGUGGCAAGCGUUGUCCGGAAUUAUUGGGCGUAAAGGGCUCGCAGGCGGUUUCUUAAGUCUGAUGUGAAAGCCCCCGGCUCAACCGGGGAGGGUCAUUGGAAACUGGGGAACUUGAGUGCAGAAGAGGAGAGUGGAAUUCCACGUGUAGCGGUGAAAUGCGUAGAGAUGUGGAGGAACACCAGUGGCGAAGGCGACUCUCUGGUCUGUAACUGACGCUGAGGAGCGAAAGCGUGGGGAGCGAACAGGAUUAGAUACCCUGGUAGUCCACGCCGUAAACGAUGAGUGCUAAGUGUUAGGGGGUUUCCGCCCCUUAGUGCUGCAGCUAACGCAUUAAGCACUCCGCCUGGGGAGUACGGUCGCAAGACUGAAACUCAAAGGAAUUGACGGGGGCCCGCACAAGCGGUGGAGCAUGUGGAUUAAUUCGAAGCAACGCGAAGAACCUUACCAGGUCUUGACAUCCUCUGACAAUCCUAGAGAUAGGACGUCCCCUUCGGGGGCAGAGUGACAGGUGGUGCAUGGUUGUCGUCAGCUCGUGUCGUGAGAUGUUGGGUUAAGUCCCGCAACGAGCGCAACCCUUGAUCUUAGUUGCCAGCAUUCAGUUGGGCACUCUAAGGUGACUGCCGGUGACAAACCGGAGGAAGGUGAGGAUGACGUCAAAUCAUCAUGCCCCUUAUGACCUGGGCUACACACGUGCUACAAUGGACAGAACAAAGGGCAGCGAAACCGCGAGGUUAAGCCAAUCCCACAAAUCUGUUCUCAGUUCGGAUCGCAGUCUGCAACUCGACUGCGUGAAGCUGGAAUCGCUAGUAAUCGCGGAUCAGCAUGCCGCGGUGAAUACGUUCUCGGGCCUUGUACACACCGCCCGUCACACCACGAGAGUUUGUAACACCCGAAGUCGGUGAGGUAACCUUUUAGGAGCCAGCCGCCGAAGGUGGGACAGAUGAU